CAUAUGUAAGAUAGGAUUCAGAUAUAGAAAUCAAAUAGAAAAAUAAAUAGAGCAGAUCUAAUCUUCAUACCUUGGCUCGGGUUAAUCUACAUUCUGAACUGAUGAUCAUGGAUAUUUUUUGAAGGUCUCUUGAAAUCGCACAAGUGUCCGACCUCUAUGGAUAUCCACAUGAGACUUCGAUUUGAUCAGAAGCUUUUUGAUCUCAUCAGAGUGCUAGCUCCCU
rnacentral:lncRNA from 1 species